CUACGGGUCGCAGCAGUGAGGAAUAUUGCACAAUGGAGGAAACUCUGAUGCAGCAACGCCGCGUGGAGGAUGACGCAUUUCGGUGUGUAAACUCCUUUUAUAUGUCAAGAAAAUGACGGUAGCAUAUGAAUAAGCACCGGCUAACUCCGUGCCAGCAGCCGCGGUAAUACGGAGGGUGCAAGCGUUACUCGGAAUCACUGGGCGUAAAGGACGCGUAGGCGGGAUAUCAAGUCAGGUGUGAAAUCCUACAGCUUAGCUGUAGAACUGCACUUGAAACUGGUAACCUAGAGUAUGGGAGGGGGGGAUGGAAUUAGUGGUGUAGGGGUAAAAUCCGUAGAUAUCACUAGGAAUACCUAAAGCGAAGGCGAUCUCCUGGAACAUAACUGACGCUAGGCGUGAAAGCGUGGGGAGCAAACAGGAUUAGAUACCCCAGUAGUC
rnacentral:rRNA from 1 species